GUGGAAGACAUAAAGCUUACGGGUGCUCCAAGGAAUUCAGAUUCCCAUGCACAAAGACCGGGGUUCAGACCCCUAUCCCCACCUGCAGGAGGAAAGCUUCAUGAGAGACAGCAGGAACCUCACAUCUUCACUAUAGAGCACCUACUUCCCUCAGUCCUGGCACCCUUGGAUAGGGCCCACUUUCCCGUAUGCGUCUCCCAAUUCAAACCAAAUAAUAUUGCAUCCGCCGAUCACAACCUAACCAAAGCAACGAUUGCCAUCUCAACAUGCUUCACCUCAGACUGUAUCCAGAGACUUCACGUGUGGAAUGACAACCCUUCAGCUUCAUUACUCGGGUUCCAGAUGCCACCAGGAUGCUGGCUAGGCUUCCCUGGAUUGAAGACCCCACCAAUGUGUCCUGGAGCUCAGCUUCCCCAGAGACACACCCUACUAGGGAAAGAGAGAGGCAGACUGGGGGUAUGGACUGACCAGUCGACGCCCAUGUUCAGCGGGGAAGCAAUUACAGAAGCCAGACCUACCUUCUGCAACCCUCAACGACCCUGGGUCCAUGCUCCCAGAGGGCUAGAGAAUGGGAAAGCUACCAUGGGAGGGGGUGGGUUAUGGGGAUUGGGUGAUGGGAAUUGUGUGGAGUUGUACCCCUCCUACCUUAUGCUUUUGUUCACUAAUCCUUUCUUAAAUAAAAAAAUUAAAAAAAAAAAAAAAACAGAACUCCCUCUCUCUGCACUCCAUAUCCCUAGAGGGGAUAAAGGUCAGAGGAAGAUGACCAGAGGGCUCUAAA